rnacentral:rRNA from 1 species
GACGAACGCUGGCGGCGUGCUUAACACAUGCAAGUCGAACGGAAAGGCCCUGCUUUUGUGGGGUUCUCGAGUGGCGAACGGGUGAGUAACACGUGAGUAACCUGCCCUUGACUUUGGGAUAACUUCAGGAAACUGGGGCUAAUACCGGAUAGGAGCUCCUGCUGCAUGGUGGGGGUUGGAAAGUUUCGGCGGUUGGGGAUGGACUCGCGGCUUAUCAGCUUGUUGGUGGGGUAGUGGCUUACCAAGGCUUUGACGGGUAGCCGGCCUGAGAGGGGGACCGGCCACAUUGGGACUAAGAUACGGCCCAGACUCCUACGGGAGGCAGCAGUGGGGAAUAUUGCACAGUGGGCGGAAGCCUGAUGCGGCAACGCCGCGUGCGGGAUGACGGCCUUCGGGUUGUAAACCGCUGUCGCCUGUGACGAAGCGUGAGUGACGGUAAUGGGUAAAGAAGCACCGGCUAACUACGUG